UUCUGUGCUUCAGCUAAGCUGACUCAUCUAUACAAUACUCGUGCCAAUCGUCCGAGAAUCAUGGAACACUUGGAACCAGAGAACCGAGAGUUGAAGGACGAGAUUUCCCGCUUGAAUGCCAUGAUGAAGUCUGUUCUAGCUGCUCAAAGUCAGUCUUACCAAAUUCCUGCAACUCCUCCUCCUCAGAGGACUGUCAUUUCAGAGGUUGCUACCUCAAUUGUGCCUGCCACUCAGUUUG
rnacentral:lncRNA from 1 species